CUCCGGUCGCUAACAUCCAACCUUGUGCACUGUUGGCUCGGCGACAGCCAACCUUGUGCGCUCAGUCCCGGGUGGGGUCAGCCACGUGGAUUAGGGGAGGGUCUGCAACGCCGGCCCGGCACCAGGAAGAGGCGGGCGUCCCGCAGGCGUCCUGGGACUGGCGGGCUGCGGACAAAGCACUUCCACGUGCCGCUGGACCGGCCAGCAGAUUACCUGCGAUUGGCUCCCACUGUGGAUCCAGGGUCUGAUGCUGCGCCUGUGUUCCUUCAGAAAAACAAGAUGUAACUGCAGAGGAUAAACACUGGGUGACUCUAAGAUUAAACAAGGUAAAUAAACAUCAGGAUGAGAUGUAAUGCACAGCUUAUGUUCCCUAAAUGGAGAUGAAAACUCAAGCGGGAAGCAGGCUGAUCAGAGAUCCAUGGUUUCUAGGUAAAAAAAUACUAUUCCUUAACCAUGUGAUUAGGGGUAGGUCUGUCCAUGCAUGCUUGUCUGAAAGCCCCUGGACAAAAAGAGGCCCUGGGAAUAUCCCACAUCUUCAGUGACCCCAGCACUCUAUUUCACCAUAGUGUUGAACACACUAAAAGAAUGUGCUUUUAGUGGGUUAGUGGUGCCAGCUUCCUGGUAGCUGGAGUCCAAACAUGGCAAUUUCUUGGUGGAAAGCUGAAGACACACAGUGAUUGACAAGAAGUAGCAUGUGUGAUUCACUGACAACCUGCUGGGUGCAGAGCAGUGCAUCUGGGAUCGGCACAUGACAGGCUGCUAGCGUGGCUGCACAUCGAUUUCUUGAUCUGAGUGUCUCCAGCAGUGUCUGUUACUAAGCUUAAUAUUUGCUUUGUGUAGUUUUCUGUAUCUGUUUUAUUUUUCAGUAAAAAGAAAAUAAAAGGAGGUAAAGAAGCCAUACUUACUCCUUUCUACUAACAGAACAUGUGCUCAGUGAGUGCCCCUUUGAUGACUGCAGACAUGUUGCUUUAAUGGCCAGUUCUCUACUUGGUCUUUUGUUUCCCACACUGUAAUUAUCAGGUCACUCAAAUCACCAGUGGGGUCUCUUCAGUUACAUUAUGGCCCCACUUUGUUCCUGCAAGCAAAGCAAAAGGAAAAGGUAUGCAUCACCUUGAAUUGCUGACCCUGCCAGGAGCCAUUGAUCUUUCCCAAGUUAGGUUAUAGAAACAAGAUUUGAGGAAAUCCAGCAAUAGAGCCAACUAUGUAAUAACUUGAAAACUCUCUUUCUACAACCCUUAGAAAUAGUAGCUUAAAUAUAGCAACUAUCUUUUCAAGUUCAUGGCCAGUAUCACAGGAAAUUUGGGAACUCAGAAGUCCAAAAAUAAAAGGGAACUCAACAUCAGGCCUGUUGGUGAGUGAACUACACUGCCCUGGAAGGGGUUGUGGGUCUGGUCUUGAUCAUAUAGAUAGGACUCUGGAUAUCCACACACGGACACACACACACACAGGACAGUGAGACCUUGCACAAAGCUGAGAUGCACAAAGAACCACAUCCCCAAUGAAACAGUAGUUUGGGGGGGGGGGGGCGCGGAAUCUACCCAUCAGCAAAGAGAAUCAAGUAGCUAUUGAGGUUACUCUGAGCCCUGAGCUAGGGGUGUAAAAGUCUCCCCCGAAGAUUUAUGUUACUGUGGUCCUGCCUGCUGCACACAUGGAGUUUCCGUUUAGGUUCUGCUGCCCCUGAGACCUGGGAACCCCUUAGCUGGGAAGUAAACAUAAAGCCUGGUCUCUGGCCAGAAGUAUCCCAGGGGCACCUGCAGAACCAUAUGCAAAACUGCUCUGGAGGAACAAGGGAACAAACUGAGUGAAUGGAAGCCAGCAGCAUAACAAACAGCAGAUUGGACGCCUAAGAACCUCAGCAGGACUCCCAGAUUCUAUAAUAAAUAUGUUUACAUUACUUAAAACAAAAAUAAGGCCUUCAACGUGUUAGAAUAAGAAUAAAGUGCAAGCCGAUAUGAAAAAGGACUAAAUAAAACUUCUGAAAGUUGAAAUAGACUUGCUGAAAUCAAAAGCUGCACUUUAGAUAAGCAGCAGGUUCAGCACAGCUGAAGAAUUACUGGGUUGGAAACAACUGAGGAUCUUACCAAGAACGCAAUGGAGAUGCAGGAUUGCGGAUACCAAAGAGAGCUUAAGAAAAAUAGAAGAGAGAAUACUAAAGUCUAGUAACUCAUAAUAGGACUUCAAGAAGGAAAAACAAAAUAGAGACUGAGAGGCAAUAUUCAAAGAGAUAUUGACUAAUAAUUUUCCAGAGCUAAAUACAAAAACUCUCCCUUUGGGAAAGAUGAAUAAAAAUAAGUUCACAUCUAGAUAAAAUGCAAAAACUGCAGAACGACAGAACCAGAGAGAUCUUACCAAUGUUCAAAGACAGACCAGACAGAACUGAUUAAAAUUCUCUAACAACAUAAAAGGAAGCAUGUGAUCUGUGCACAAGAUUUGUGUGUGGAGAGCCCCCAGGUUAAGGGAAGGAGACAGGCACCCAUAAAUUCAGCAGCAGAAAUGCCGAACAAGUAGCAGCCUUCUUUAUGGAGGGAAUAAAGGAUGAACUGCACAGAAAAACAAAAUUCCCCAUUCAAGAACAGAUUUUUCUAGCUUCUGGUCUUAUCCCAGGUGUGACCGUUAAUUUCUUUUUCCAACUUUGCUGGCCUAAGGGAGGCUCUGACAGCUGGUAAAGCAGUAUUUCUGCAUGUCUGUGGGGGUGUUUCUGGGAGACAUUAGCAUUUGAUUCAGUAGAGUGAGUAAAGAAGAUCCACCCUUACCAAUGUGGGCAGCAUCAUCCAUCCUUUGGGGGCCCAUCUGGAACAAAAAGGCAAAGAAAGGGCACAAAUUCUCUCUCUUCUUGAGCCAGGAUAUCCAUCUUAUUCCGCCCUCAGAGCUUGAGACUUGGGACUCCAGCAUGUUCACAAGUGGCCUCUGACUUCAGACUAAAGGGAUACCACCAGCUCUCCAGAGCCACAUGUCCCAGUUCCUAUCAUGAAUCUCCCCUUCCUUAUCUCUCUAUCCUACUGCUGUUUCUCAGGAGAGCCUGGACUAAUACACCAGGGCAAAGUCUUCCAUUCUAUAUCCUCUAGCCACCUUGACCUUGAGCUGUUCCCCCCUGCUCCGCCCCUCACUUUAACUCUGUCACUUUCUGAUUCUAUCUGAAAAUUCUUGGCACAAGGAUAUACCCUCAGGACAGAAAACCUAUUAAAUGAUGGCCUCAGUUAAUUCUUCUCCAAAGUUCUCAAACCAAUACUUAGAAUAUGUGUCAGAUUUUCUCUUAUGAGUCCAUUCUGCUGCAUUGAAAUUUACUUUACUUGAAAGAGGGUCCCUUUUUAAUGAAU